AGGCCAGACCACAGAACCACAAGCGUGGUGCAAUCUGUACUUUUCAGAAGAGCACCUGAAUAUCAACAGCUAGGUUUCUUCUUGUUGCCAAAAGACUGCUUCUCAUCACUUCUUGAGUCACAGUCAGUGCUUUCCUCUUCUUCUUCCUCAAAAAGUGGCAACAUCCAGCAGGACUAAAUUAUUAUCAUAUAAAGGAAAACGUCAUGGCGUCCAAUAGCAUAUUCGACUCAUUUACAACAUAUCCACAGCCCUUUUUACGUGGAGGGGAAAUACAGAAAACAAAGACAAGGAAGGCACAAGACUAUUGCUUUCCUGGGCAAGG